UCCGUAGGUGAACCUGCGGAAGGAUCAUUAGUGAACGCCCUCACGGGCUUAUAACUAUUCCAAACCUCUGUGAACCGUGCCCUUUGGGGCUAUUUUACAAACAUGGUGUAAUGAACGUCAUAUAUCAUAACAAAACAAAACUUUCAACAACGGAUCUCUUGGCUCUCGCAUCGAUGAAGAACGCAGCGAAAUGCGAUAAGUAAUGUGAAUUGCAGAAUUCAGUGAAUCAUCGAAUCUUUGAACGCACCUUGCGCCCUCUGGUAUUCCGGAGGGCAUGCCUGUUUGAGUGUCAUGUAGACUCAAUCCCUCGAGUUUCCGAGGAGAUUGGACUUGGGUGUUGCCGCUCUGCCGGCUCGCCUUAAAAGACUUAGCGGGAUAGCACCGUAGUCGGCGUAAUAAGUUUCGUCGGUGAAGGUUGUGAUGACUGCUUACAAUCGCCCUCGGGCAAUUUUUGACUCUGACCUCAAAUCAGGUAGGACUACCCGCUGAACUUAAGCAUAUCAAUAAGCGGAGGA
rnacentral:rRNA from 1 species